UCAAAGGACCAGAGACUAAGCCCAGCCAUGU
rnacentral:piRNA from 1 species